CGGGGAGACGCCGAUAACAAAUGUGCUCGAGUUGUUUAACGAUCUGUACUACAGACUGCGAUUGACAACUAAACCAACUAUGAAAGCAAUGUGCUUUCCGGUGAGGAUGUCGUUUAGCGCGAGUCUAGCCAUGUGUAGUCUUCGAAGAAUGAAUGAAACAAGUUGGAAUAUUUUAUUCACACGCGAAGACUAAAGUUUAUGGAAAAUGUCAGGAAGAGAUUGGCGCUUUUAAUGACACCAAGCUAAGGAUCAUCUGUUAUUGAUCCAGUUUUACUACAGGAGCCUGAACUUAACUAACUUUAUUCAUACUGUUUCGUAUUUUUAGCCCUUACAUGAAAAUGGCAUCACCAACAGGGAUUCGAAGCAACAAAAUGUUUUACUGUGUUCCUCGGAUGACGAAACGCUUAUAAAGGU